CGCCAGGCAAGGCCAAUCAAUGCCCGACCACGGGCCCGUUGCGCCCUCCUCUGGGGCCCCCCACGCCGGGCACACCUGAGUGCGCUUCUCCGGGUCCAGCCCAACAACAUCUCCAAAUGGGGUAUCUGGGUUGAAGAUGGCCUGCAACACUGCCUGAUCAUUUGGAGUCCCCAUGGUAUUCAACUCCGAAAUCCCAAAAGGUGACUCAGAUUGAGAGAAGAGGGAGGAAGGGAAAAGACCCCGCCCAUGGAUGGGAGACCUGAGACAAACAAGGAAAAGAGAGCAGACAAAAUUUUCAAGGAAGG